UGUUAAAAAUUUCAUCUAUUUCUAGUGUUAAAAACUGGCAUGGUUGACAAAAUGACUAGUGACACGUGGUGUGCCAUGUGUAUCUCAUAUUGACGUAUAAGGACCAAUUUUCAACAGUAGAAAUGGAUGAAAUUUUAUCA
rfam:Gossypium hirsutum cultivar TM-1 chromosome 2, whole genome shotgun sequence